CCCCUUCUCUCAUCUCUCCUCAUUUCAUCAGAUUCAAUUCUUUCUCCUUUCAUCUCUUCUCUGUUUUUUAUUUCUCUUUUGUAACAAUCAGAGGAGAAUGGUGGUGGUCUGACAAAUUGUACCUUAUUCCUUGUGUAUGUUUAUUGAAAUCAAUAUAUCUACUUGUGUGUUUCUUCCUCGCAGUGGUGGUGGUCUGAGAACCAGCGCUUCAUGUAGUUCGGACCUCGAGAAGAUAUGUAAUUGGUUCGCGGUGAAGGGUCCGGUGAGAAGUUCGAGUGCCAAGCUGAGGUUCGUUUCUACUAAAGUUUUGAUUUUUAGUCAUGGGAACUUGAUUUGAAUGUGAAAGUUUGAGACUUUAUCACUGGCAGUAAUGCAAGUGAUGCUUUGAUAAGCUGAGGUUCUUAAGUGUGACAGAGCCUGCUUUGCUUGGAGAUGGUGGUGACAAAGGAAGAACUUAUAGACUGUCUGUCUUGGAACCAUUGCUCAGAGUUUCAUUUUGUAUUCAUGAUUGCUGUUUGUUGUAAUUGUAGAUGCUUUAGCUGUUAACUCUGAUGGUCGUUACUUGACGACUAGAGGAGUUGAUCGCCAUGUUCAUAAGGUCCAAUUUGUCUCAGCUUUUAUGAUUAUGUGUCUACAGGCCUUUACAGGUCACAAGAACACUGUUUUUUCCCUAUGUUUCAGACACAGAACUGCAGAGCUCUACUCUGGUUCAUUUGAUCGAAGUGUCAAGGCGUGCACUUACGGUUGGGAGAGAUAGAAUCAUGCAACUACACAUGGUAAUAUGCUGUCUUUUUUGUCUUCCAUUGUUGGAGAUGAUGUUUAAUGCCUGAGACAAGUCGUCUGAUUUACCAUGCACAUCUGCCUCUGACUCUUUGUGUUCUAUAUAAUAUAUAUUCUGUAGUUUGUGUAUUGUGUUACAGGAAGGUAGACAAGGCAGAGAAGCUUGAUGGAGGAGAAGGUGGCAAAAGGGGUGAGUCAUUAGUGGCGAGGACAUUAGGUGUUUAGAGUGGAGAAGACCCAAGCUCCGGUAUGUGACUAGAAGACGGUGACGUUGGAGAUAGAACUUUGGGUUUAGAAUUUUAGGUGUAGGUUUAAUUGUUUUUAAAAAUAUUAGUUAAGUUUGAUAUAUCUAUCAUAACUAUGUAACCAAUUUCAAUAUAUAAAAAAUUUAAUAUAAAUUUGUAUUUUUAUAUUUUA